ensembl:antisense_RNA anr-55 ncRNA
GGAAAUUGAGAUGCGGUAAAAAAUCCAAUUUCUAUAGACCUUCUUUAGGGUAUCUGCUUUUGAUUUAACACAAAAAUCAAAAAAUUUUCUUUUCUUGUUUUGUUUAUAGAUAAUACAAAGUUCCAAAAACAAUAAAAUUUAGAAAAAACCAAAAUUUUGGUCACAAUUUUUCUGUUUUGCUUACGGCUUUUCAUCCACUUGUGAUGGUUUUUUUUUAAUUAGAAAAACUCUUUUUGAGAAUUUUUUCCGGAAAAUUGAAAAAAGUAUUCUUUUUCUUUUAAGUUUGUCUUUAUUUUUGGUUUUUUUCUCACCAACAUAUUAGGCUUUUGUCAAUUUUUAAACCAUCUUUUUCGAUGUUCCGGAUAAUUUUUUUUCGAAAUUCCAAAAAAAAACCUUGAAACUUUCGCAAUUUUUCUCGUCUUGUGGUCUUAUGGUUUUUUGUUCACAACAACUCGGGAUGAAUAAUUGUACUCCGAUAUUUCAAAAAAAAAAUGUUUGGUUGGUCAUUUUUCCUCUUUUUAGAAAAAUAUGCUUCAAAAAAAUGCUUUUCCGAUUACAGAAUGCGAUUAGUUUAAUUAUUUCAUUUUGUGGAGAGUGUGAAACAGAAAAAAAAAGAAUAUUUUCAAUCUUUUUUAAAUGACUUAAUUUCAAAGUUUAACUAUCCAGAUCGGAAGUGAUUUUUUUUUCAAAAUUCUUAAUGUUCGUUAAGAAUUGUUGAAGUUUUCUUAACCGAAAAUCGAAAAAAUAAAUAUUUCCAAACCAAAAAUUAAAAAAAAACCUGAACAUUGGCCAUAUUUUUUUAAAAUUAAAAAAAAAAUCUGUGAAUUUCCUGCCGUAGAUCUACAAUAUUACCAAUUUUAUAGAGGUUUUCAUGAAAAUUCAGUUUUUGAUGUGCAGGUACAACUCACAAUGUUUUUAGUUUGAUUAUUUCAUUUUAUGAAAAGUAUGAAACAGAGAAAAAAAUCAUUUAUAAUUUUUUUUAAAUGACAUCUCCUUCAUCCAGAUUGGAAGUGAUUAUUUGUUUCAAAAUUCCUAAUUUUCAUAAAGAAUUGUUGGUUUUUUUUAAAUCGAGACCCAUUCUUAUGACUUGAACUGAUUAUUUGUACUUUUUCAUAAAGUUUAGAUAGUCCAG